rnacentral:rRNA from 1 species
AACGAACGCUGGCGGCAGGCCUAACACAUGCAAGUCGAACGCUGUAGCAAUACAGAGUGGCAGACGGGUGAGUAACGCGUGGGAACAUGCCCUUCGGUUCGGAAUAACUCAGGGAAACUUGAGCUAAUGCCGGAUACGCCCUUAGGGGGAAAGAUUUAUUGCCGAAGGAUUGGCCCGCGUCCGAUUAGCUAGUUGGUGAGGUAACGGCUCACCAAGGCGACGAUCGGUAGCUGGUCUGAGAGGAUGAUCAGCCACACUGGGACUGAGACACGGCCCAGACUCCUACGGGAGGCAGCAGUGGGGAAUAUUGGACAAUGGGCGCAAGCCUGAUCCAGCCAUGCCGCGUGAGUGGUGAAGGCCCUAGGGUUGUAAAGCUCUUUCGCCAGGGACGAUAAUGACGGUACCUGGAUAAGAAGCCCCGGCUAACUUCGUGCCAGCAGCCGCCGUAACAC